UGCCGGGUGGACGAAUUGGUAAAGUCACCUGUCUCUGAAACAGGAGUUUUGUAGGUUCAAACCCUACCCCGGCAGCCA
rnacentral:tRNA from 1 species